rnacentral:rRNA from 1 species
CCUACGGGAGGCAGCAGUGGGGAAUAUUGCACAAUGGGGGGAACCCUGAUGCAGCGACGCCGCGUGAGUGAAGAAGUAUUUCGGUAUGUAAAGCUCUAUCAGCAGGGAAGAAAAUGACGGUACCUGAAGAAAAAGCAUCGGCUAACUCCGUGCCAGCAGCCGCGGUAAUAGGGGGGAUGCGGGCGUUAUCCGGAUGUAUGGGGUUUAAAGGGUGCGCAGGCGGUCUGUUAAGUCAGCGGUCAAAGCCCGGGGCUAAACCUCUUCGAGCCGUUGAAACUGGUUUUCUUGAGUGAGCGAGAGGUAUGCGGAAUGCGUGGUGUAGCGGUGAAAUGCAUAGAUAUCACGCAGAACUCCGAUUGCGAAGGCAGCAUACCGGCGCUCAACUGACGCUCAUGCACGAAAGUGUGGGUAUCGAACAGGAUUAGAUACCCGAGUAGUC